GACGAACGCUGGCGGCGUGCUUAACACAUGCAAGUCGAACGGAAAGGCCCUGCUUUUGUGGUGUGCUCGAGUGGCGAACGGGUGAGUAACACGUGAGUAACCUGCCCUUGACUGUGGGAUAACUUCAGGGGACUGGGGCUAAUACCGGAUAUGAGAUCCUGCUGCAUGUGGGGGGUUGGAAAGUUUCGGCGGUUGGGGAUGGACUCGCGGCUAAUCAGCUUGUUGGUGGGGUCGUGGCUUACCAAGGCUUUGACGGGUAGCCGGCCUGAGAGGGUGACCGGCCACAUUGGGCUUGAGAGACGGCCAAGAGUCCUACGGGAGGCAGCGGGGGGGAAUAUUCCACAAUGGGCGGAAGCCUCAUGCAGCAACGCCGCGUGCGGGAUGACGGCUGUCGGGUUGUAAACCGCUCUGGCCUGAGACGAAGGGUGAGUGACGGUAAUGGGUAAAGAAGCACCGGCUAACUACGUG
rnacentral:rRNA from 1 species